GGUUGCAGAGCUUUCUGGCUGGAGCUCCAAGGGUCGGUAGUUCAUGUUUGGAUCAUCACAUUAAUAACUUACUUAAUGGCUUAUUGAUAGGUAUUUUAUUUAGGCGUGAAACAUAACUCAUUGAAGAAAUUGUUGCAGAAGUAUGGAAAAUGUUACAACCUAAAUUGCCACAUUAUGAUGAUGAAAUGGUUGGAAUUGAUUCAAGGAUGAGCGGCGUGUGUUCACUUUUAAGGACAUAGUCAGAGGAAAUUCGCUUUGUGUGGAUAUGGGCCAUGAGUGGCAUAGGAAAGACAACUCUAACCAAACUAGUGUACAAGAAAAUCCAUAACCAAUUUGAUUUUAGUUGUUUUCUUGAGAACGUUAGAGAGGUUUCUAGAGAAAGAGAUGGUAUGCUUUGUUUACAAAGAAAAUUGUUUUCUCAUCUAAAUAUAAACAGCAUGCGAAUUGAAAGUUUGGACCAAGGAAGAGAGACAAUACAUAAUCUUUUAUUCAAUAAAAGGGUUCUCCUUGUCCUUGAUGAUCUACGUUCUGAUAUCUAACUGCAUAAUUUAGCUGGAAAGCAAGAAUGAUUUGGUCCAACGAGCAGGGUAAUAAUCACUACUAGAGACAAGCAUCUCCUAGUAUCACUAGGUGUCUGUGAAAGUUAUGAUGCUAGCUCUAAUCAUAAACAGUGGUGAAUCCCUUCAACUUUUUAGUCAAAAAGCUUUUAGAAGAGGAAAACCUGAAGAAGCUUUCGUAGAUUUCUCAAAACGGGUGGUUCAAUGUGCUGGAGGUAUUCCCUUGGCACUCAAAGUGUUGGGUUCAUUCCUCUGUGGAAGAAGGGAAUAUAUAUGGGAAGAUGCUUUGAAAAUGUUGCAGCAUGAUCUGCAAAAUGAUAUUACAUGACACUGAGAAUAAGUUAUGAUGGAUUACGGGAUAUGGAAAAGGCGAUAUUUCUAGAUAUUGCAUGUUUUUUCAAACGGAGCCCCAACGAUCGUGUAACACAAAUAUUGAAAAAUUGUGGUCUUAAUCCAUUGAUUGAUAUUCACAUUCUUGUUGAAAAAUCAUUAAUAACUUAUGAUGGUUGGCAUUUGGUGAUGCAUGAUGAUUUGCUUCAUGAAAUGGGUAAAAAUAUUGUUCUCCAUUAAUCUCUUAAUGAUGCUGGGAAGCGGAAUAUGUUGUGGUCUCUCAAGGACAUUGAUCAAGUAUUGAGAAAUAAUAAAAUAAGUUUUUUUUAAUGAAUUUGUACAGAGUUUAUACUCUCAUUAUUACUUAUGUUGUUUUCAUUUUCAUAUUUUUAAAGGGAACUGAAUCCAUUCAAGUUGUAGUUCUAAAUCAUUGUGAUCCAUUUGAAGCAAAUCCUGAAGUUUUUGCAAAGAUGGGUAAUCUUAGAUUGCUCAUGAUAUUAACUAAAUUACAACUUCCACUUGGUCUCAAAUGUCUCGAGUCAUUGUCAGUUGGAGACCAAUUGGAUGAACUUGUUGACCUGAUAUGUGUCAUAGCAAAAUAAAGCAGCUUUGGAGAGAAACAAAGGUAAUAUUCUUCCAUUUAAUCUCUAGAUCCUAUUUAAUUUUAAGAGAUCACAUGCACAUCUGUGUGUAUAUACAUAUAUGUAUACAUAGAACUUCAGUUUUACACCCUUCACGCUAUAAAUCUGUAAUAGACUCUAAUACCGUGUUAAAUUUUGGGUUUAAGACCUAA